AGGCCAUGGUGUGGGCAUAAUCUGAGCAUAUUUUUAAAUACAUCCCAUGCUUCAUAAAGAAAUUCAGUUUCAGUCUGUAUAAAGCUAGCAAUUGAAUUCGACAUAUGUGU